CAAUUCCAGCAUAGUUGCUAAUCUGCAUAACAAAAAAACCAAAUGAGCCCCAAACCCUAGCGGCCAAAUAAUAAAAAUGAAAGAGUUGGUGUUCAGGCUCUUAGAACAGCUAAAUACUAUGGGACCUAAUCAGCAUUUUGUAAACAAAAGAAAGGAAAACUGGUUUGCUCAUAUAAUACAUGCUUUUUGAAUCUUCUCAACAAGAUUCGUAAGCUGCUAAACUACAGGCAACCAUCAACCUACAUUAACAUGACAAGCCCACAGAAGAAUAUAUUAAUCAGCCCACAAAAUAGCGACCUAAAUCAAAACAGCCAGUUUUAGUACUAAUGCACAAAAUCAAGUUGAAAAAUAGUUCUUUAUGUCACCUGCCCUUUUUAGAAAUCCAUGAAGAAUGAGAAUGAAAAGAUCAAUCCAAAAUCAGCAUGUUCAAAUCUUUAAAAUGAAUUAGCGAUGAUCAAAAUGAAAUGCAGUAUUACCUCAGGAACAAUGAAUUUCCCUGUGAGAAGACAGAUAGCUGGUAGG
rnacentral:misc_RNA from 1 species